rnacentral:rRNA from 1 species
CCUACGGGAGGCAGCAGUGGGGAAUCUUGCGCAAUGGGCGAAAGCCUGACGCAGCCAUGCCGCGUGAAUGAUGAAGGUCUUAGGAUUGUAAAAUUCUUUCACCGGGGACGAUAAUGACGGUACCCGGAGAAGAAGCCCCGGCUAACUUCGUGCCAGCAGCCGCGGUAAUACGAAGGGGGCUAGCGUUGCUCGGAAUUACUGGGCGUAAAGGGAGCGUAGGCGGAUAGUUUAGUCAGAGAUGAAAGCCCAGGGCUCAACCUUGGAAUUGCCCUUGAUACUGGCUAUCUUGAGUACGGAAGAGGUAUGUGGAACUCCGAGUGUAGAGGUGAAAUUCGUAGAUAUUCGGAAGAACACCAGUGGCGAAGGCGACAUACUGGUCCGUUACUGACGCUGAGGCUCGAAAGCGUGGGGAGCAAACAGGAUUAGAUACCCUGGUAGUCCACGCUGUAAACGAUGAGUGCUAGUUGUCGGCGAUGCAUGCAUGUCGGUGACGCGAGACUACGACAUUAAGUACGACCGUCCGCCGUCGGGGUAGGGUACGGGUCGGCGAAGUAAGUUAAAACCGUUAACGUUAAAGUUAAGUAAGUUAGGUUACGGUCGNGAGACGCGACGACGACGACGACGGAGGGAGGAGG